UGUAAAUUUAAAGGGGAAAAGUUUGAAGAAUUAUGUAUUUUUCCUAAAUUUAGCUAUUUAAAAAACAAAAAUACGGUAUUGUGUUGAGGUCUAGUUAAAUGUGAGAGUGAAAUUGGACAAAGUUUUAUUUUUAGAGUGGCUGCUCUGCGUGGAGGAAUUACAAAUUUUCAGAGAGAAAGCAUCUGAGACCAUUCCAAAACUUUUGGAGCACUUGCAUUGUGUGCCUAACAACAUGACUCCCGGCAUGUCCUGUUUGGGUUUUUUGCAUGUUAUGCAGGCUGUGUGUCAGGGCACUGCCCUUGUGUCUUUGCCAACUUGACUGUUCAAGAUGUCAGGUCUGCUAAGCAUGAAGGAGAUGGCCAUGUUUUAAAUGAUCAGCAACCACAAAAGCAUGGGCAGUUAUGGGAGAGCACAUAUUGCCAUGACUAAAGAGGAGUUCACCUGAUUUGAGAGGUUCACUAAUCUCCGUCAAUGUUUGCCAGGCUACAGGGUGGAAUAAACACCUUGUUUUUCACAAGAACAGGCUCCCCGCUAAGGACAAAUUCAGACUACAUUUCCAUGGCCUGGGGCAAUGCAGGACUACGACAAAAUACAAUAAUGACAGAUAUACGGUCAUCUAUAGCCACACAUGUACAUACAUGUGUGGCUAUAGAUAAUCAUCUAUAUACAUAAUCAUCCAACCCUAAUCUAUGCAAUAUCUCCAACCCUAAACUCAACUCUAACUCUAAUAAUUUCUCCACCUAAUAACCCUAAUCAUUUGCAUUUCUCUCGAUAAUAACUGUAAGCAUUACUACUGUGAUUCAUCUGUACCAGCAAAUAUAUUACCAGUAGUUAUGUUGUUAUUACAUGUAUUGUUAAUGUGUAACUACACUGUUAUUAGAAGCAUUUAUUAUGAAGUGAAACCCUUUUUUCAGGGGAAAAAGUCAGGAAGAUCAAAAGAACAGUGACAAAGACAGUGGGGAUCAGGGGGAGUCAAGUGAGGUCCAGACCAAGCAGAGAUGUCCUAGCAAAUACUUAAUGGAAAGUGGAAAAGAUGAUGAAGUUACUGAGAAAGGUGAGGGGUCAGUGUCUGAAGGUUCGGAUCCGAUCUAUGAUGCUCCUGAAAAUGUCAACGAACUGGCCACUGGUAUACCUGAACACAAUUAAUUUAAACACAUUUUAAAAAAAAUCUCCAACUACUUUUUUACAUCUUUAUACAUUUAUUUAUAGCUAUAUUCAUCAUUACUUAACGUUCCCCCUGGGCCCGAAAAGGUACACACCUGAAAACACUUAUAUACUUAUCUCAAUUACUUACUUGACUUACAUGACAAUGUGUCAACUUGACUAAUAAGACCUUAAGAUCUGAAGUUUUUAUUCAGAUGAAGUGAGACCUGGAAAAGAAUAACAUAUGAAUUGACUGGGGAAGUAAAUUAAGCAUGCUAAAAUUUUAUUCUUAUCUGGCUAUACAAAAAUUAUUUAUGUUUAAUGUGAGGUCUUAGCAAGUUUUUGAUAUUUUCUGUAAGUUACUUUUCUGAAAGUCUCAGUAAAAUUUACAUGAGUUCCAGAGGGGCAGAGAAGACCACCUGAAUUGUUUUCCUA